GCCUUCGUGGUGUAGUGGUCAGCACGCUCGAUGCGUUUUCGAGAGGUCCGUGGUUCGAUUCCCGGCUAGGGCA
rfam:Stegodyphus mimosarum contig106639, whole genome shotgun sequence.